rnacentral:rRNA from 1 species
AGAGAGAGACAUGCGCGCAUAUCAAUAAGCGGAGGAAAAGGAACUAACAAGGAUUCCCCUAGUAACGGCGAGUGAAGCGGGAAGAGCUCAAAUUUGAAAUCUUAAAGGGUUUCCCUUUACGAAUUGUAGUUUAAAGAAGUGUUUUCUGUUGGAGUUUCGGUAAAAGUUCUUUGGAAUAGGACAUCAUAGAGGGUGAGAAUCCCGUAUUUGACCAGUUACUUUCCAGCUAUGUGAUACACCUUCAAAGAGUCGGAUUGUUUGGGAAUGCAGUCCAAAAUGGGUGGUAAAUUUCAUCUAAAGCUAAAUAUUGGCGAGAGACCGAUAGCGAACAAGUACCGUGAGGGAAAGAUGAAAAGAACUUUGAAAAGAGAGUUAAACAGUACGUGAAAUUGUCAAAAGGGAAGCGUUUGACACCAGUGUUGUUUUUCCGAAAAUCAAUUACGAGUGUUUUAGUUUUGAGGAGUUAUGACUUCAUCGGCUUGCUCCUUUCUUUAUGAAACUUUCUUAAUGCACUUUUCGGUUAACAAGUCAACAUCAAUUUCUUUUGUUGUAAAAGGGUAGUGAGGAAGGUGGCUUUCUUUUCGGAGAAAGUGUUUAUAGCCUUGUGCCUCUGCAAUCGGAGAGAUUGAGGUCUGCAGCGUAGAUCCUUCGGGGUUAGAUAGCAUUUGUGCUAAGUUAUAGCUUUUCAUAGACAACUUGUUGACUAUGAUUAGUCAUUGUAGCUUACUCGCUUAUGCUAUUUUACCUACGCUUAGGAUGUUGAUAGUCACAGCGUGUAC